rnacentral:lncRNA from 1 species
GGCCUCCUUCUUUAGCGUCUGGUCCUUCUUCUCUGUUAGAGGCAGGGCUAGAAACUAGGGUUUGAGUUUCGUGUAAUGCAAAAUAUUUAUAUCCAUCUCAUGUUAAUCUGAACCGUCUGUCGCGAUCGAUCUUAUCCGUUCGAUCAUGCCUAAGGAGGAAACGAACCGUUCGUCGCGAUUAAUCUCGACCGUCCAAUCGCACAUAAGGUGGAAACAAAUCUAGGACGUCCACACACACGGGAUCCUGGGCCAUCUAAUCGCGGAGCACGCAGAUUGCUAAUGUGCCCUCCCGCAUGGCGCCGACGUGGCGCACCUGGCCACGUGGCGCACUCUGGUUCGUCAAGGUU